AAAGGGGUCUGCAACCAAAGG
rnacentral:miRNA from 1 species